rnacentral:rRNA from 1 species
UACAUGCAAGUCGAGCGGACAGAAGGGAGCUUGCUCCCGGAUGUUAGCGGCGGACGGGUGAGUAACACGUGGGUAACCUGCCUGUAAGACUGGGAUAACUCCGGGAAACCGGAGCUAAUACCGGAUAGUUCCUUGAACCGCAUGGUUCAAGGAUGAAAGACGGUUUCGGCUGUCACUUACAGAUGGACCCGCGGCGCAUUAGCUAGUUGGUGAGGUAACGGCUCACCAAGGCGACGAUGCGUAGCCGACCUGAGAGGGUGAUCGGCCACACUGGGACUGAGACACGGCCCAGACUCCUACGGGAGGCAGCAGUAGGGAAUCUUCCGCAAUGGACGAAAGUCUGACGGAGCAACGCCGCGUGAGUGAUGAAGGUUUUCGGAUCGUAAAGCUCUGUUGUUAGGGAAGAACAAGUGCAAGAGUAACUGCUUGCACCUUGACGGUACCUAACCAGAAAGCCACGGCUAACUACGUGCCAGCAGCCGCGGUAAUACGUAGGUGGCAAGCGUUGUCCGGAAUUAUUGGGCGUAAAGGGCUCGCAGGCGGUUUCUUAAGUCUGAUGUGAAAGCCCCCGGCUCAACCGGGGAGGGUCAUUGGAAACUGGGAAACUUGAGUGCAGAAGAGGAGAGUGGAAUUCCACGUGUAGCGGUGAAAUGCGUAGAGAUGUGGAGGAACACCAGUGGCGAAGGCGACUCUCUGGUCUGUAACUGACGCUGAGGAGCGAAAGCGUGGGGAGCGAACAGGAUUAGAUACCCUGGUAGUCCACGCCGUAAACGAUGAGUGCUAAGUGUUAGGGGGUUUCCGCCCCUUAGUGCUGCAGCUAACGCAUAAGCAC